rnacentral:rRNA from 1 species
UACGUAGGGGGCAAGCGUUAUCCGGAUUUACUGGGUGUAAAGGGAGCGUAGGCGGCUUAGUAAGUCAGAAGUGAAAGCCCGCAGCUCAACUGCGGGACUGCUUUUGAAACUGCCAGGCUAGAGUGUCGGAGAGGUAAGUGGAAUUCCCAGUGUAGCGGUGGAAUGCGCAGAUAUUGGGAAGAACACCGGCGGCGAAGGCGGCCUUCUGGGCCACGACUGACGCUGAGGCGCGAAAGCUAGGGGAGCGAACAGG